UACGUAGGCAGCGAGCGUUGCUCGGAUUGACUGGGCGUAAAGGGCGCGUAGGCGGUUCGUACAGUCAGACGUGAAAUUCCUGGGCUCAACCUGGGGGCUGCGUUUGAUACGUGCGGACUUGAGUGCGGAAGAGGGUCGUGGAAUUCCCAGUGUAGAGGUGAAAUUCGUAGAUAUUGGGAAGAACACCGGUGGCGAAGGCGGCGACCUGGUCCGAUACUGACGCUGAGGCGCGAAAGCGUGGGGAGCAAACAGG
rnacentral:rRNA from 1 species